GUUUCCGUAGUGUAGUGGUUAUCACGUCUGCCUCACACGCAGAAGGUCCCCAGUUCGGGCCUGGGCGGAAACA
rfam:Nematostella vectensis strain CH2 x CH6 NEMVEscaffold_1587_Cont37441, whole genome shotgun sequence.